AUAAUUGAAUUGUUCUGUAAAAAGGUUGGAUCCGACGCCCCUAGAAGGCUACUAUAGGCUCUCCUUCUCAACUCCUACUCAAAAUGACCACGUUGUGCAGAACGGUAACUUUUCGCCUAGAUCCAAGCUUGGGUACACGGGGAAACCCAACCCCUUGGGCGGAUGGGCGGCAAGGCUGAAUUGAGAGGU
rnacentral:ribozyme from 1 species